GACGAACGCUGGCGGCGUGCUUUAGGCAUGCAAGUCGAACGCGAAAGCCCCUUCGGGGGUGAGUAGAGUGGCGAACGGGUGAGUAACACGUGGGUAACCUGCCCCUCGCAGGGGGAUAACCGGGGGAAACCCCGGCUAAUACCCCGUACGCUUGCUGGGGCGCAUGCUCCGGCAAGGAAAGGUAGCUUCGGCCAUCCGGCGAGGGAGGGGCCCGCGGCCCAUUAGCUAGUUGGUGGGGUAACGGCCCACCAAGGCGACGAUGGGUAGCUGGCCUGAGAGGGUGGUCAGCCACGCUGGGACUGAGACACGGCCCAGACUCCUACGGGAGGCAGCAGCCAGGAAUCUUGCGCAAUGGGCGAAAGCCUGACGCAGCAACGCCGCGUGGGCGAUGAAGGCCUUCGGGUCGUAAAGCCCUGUUGUCGGGGACGAAGGGCGAAGGGUUAAUAGCCCCUAGCCUGACGGUACCCGACGAGGAAGCCCCGGCUAACUACGUG
rnacentral:rRNA from 1 species